UACAGAGGUCCCGAGCGUUUGUUCGGAUUCAUUGGGCGUAAAGGGCGCGUAGGCGGCUCUGCACGUUCGUUGUGAAAUCGCCCGGCUCAACUGGGCGGGGUCAGCGGAUACGGCGGAGCUUGAGCAAGCUAGGGGGCAAUGGAAUUCCCGGUGUAGUGGUGGAAUGCGUAGAUAUCGGGAGGAACACCAGUGGCGAAGGCGGUUGCCUGGGGCUUUGCUGACGCUGAUGCGCGGAAAGCGUGGGGAGCGAUCCGG
rnacentral:rRNA from 1 species